AUGAGUGGUGGUGCUUCCACUGAGGGUCGUUGGUUGCGGGAGAACGACUAUGCGGUGUCGAUUUGCAAUGUUGCAGUGCUACUACUAUGGCGGAGCGACGAAUCCCGUGCCGGAAUCGUGCGGGUCUACUGCGGCCGGUUGUGUGAUCCUGGUCGGGUUGUGAGGAUGAUGGCGGAUUGGAGAGCUUUUGAUGGAGGCUUGCGGAGACUUCACGGUGGAAGCUUGUGUGCAUUCUGCGCGUGGUCGGCGUUUGUAAUAAGCUACGGCGGAGCCCAGGUUGUUGAGGUUGUUGGAGCAUGA